AGUGGCUGCAGCCUCUUGCAGACAGUGGAGGCUCAGGCUAAGCCAGCAAGACCAAGAGGAGCACGGAGAGCUGGCAAGACGCUGGCCCGAUGAUAUCGCCUGAGCCGUGAAUCCUCCUGGCCAACGCCAGGGCUUCCUCAGGCUUUGUCAUUGCAGGGACACUUCCCUCCCUCCCUCCUUCUCUGUCUCUCUCCCCACUGCCUCUCUUUCUAGCUUAAGCCAAUUUGAGAUGGAUUUUCUGUCACUUGCUGUUGAAGGAGUCCUGGUCCAGCCCAGGUGGAUUUCGUGCAAAUGAAACCCACAUAAUGCAAGUCUGUGUGGAAGUGAUCGUCUGCGAUCGGCGCGUGCCCUUCGCCUUAUGAACAGGAGCCAUGGGUGACACGAGCGCCUCGGCUGGGCCGCCGGGGUCCGUCUGAGGUCCAUCUGUCUCCAGGGCACAGACCCCAGGCCUGGACAGAGCCGGGCACGUGUGAAACGGGAAGAUGUCAGCUGGGGAACCGGCCGCAGCUCCCAACCUUGAUGAGGAAAGAAACCUGGUAGCUGUUCCUGCAGAAAAGCCACAUGGCUCGCCGCCUAUCUCCACGAUGGUACCUGGCUUCUCCCAUCCUCACCGUCCACGUCUACUCCCUUCCCAUCCCAGACCCGAGACGCAGAAGGCUUUAGACAGAGCAGCUUCAUCAGGAAUCUGGACUGGGCUGAGGUACCUGCUCCCAGCUCCUCAAAGUGCCAUCCGGUAAAUCUGCAUCUAUUAGAGCUGACAGCCAGGCUGCUCAGGCUUAAACAAUUAAUAUGCAUGAGGAGUCCGCAAACACAGAGCAGGGGCAUGUUACUGUGCUGGGAUGUAGGACGGCUUCUCGGAUAAGGUCAUUCAUUUUUAUGAUUCUGCUUAAUUUGGAUUUGCCAGUCUUCCUUUCAUUAUCCCAUGGGCCAGUCUUAAUAAUCAAGACUAUGUUAUGUGCUUUGUGGCAUAAUUAAAGCCACUGCCUAAUUAGACAAGCAUCUACCGUCUGACAAAGAGAAAUCAGUAAUGCAGCUAAUGGAGAAAGUGGUGAGGAGUUGGGUUUGAAAGUGGAUGGAAUCACCUGUUGGUGCCAGAACACACACACACAUGCACACAUGUCCACACAUGCACACACAUCUGUGGACACACACACACAUGUACAUACAUCUCACACACACAGAUACAUGCACACAUGUACACACGCAGAUACAUGCGCAUGUACAGGCAUGCACACAUACACACACACACACACUCUCCUACAUUCUAUGUGUGUUUCCGAUGACCAGCCCUGUCAAACCAAACCAAUCAGCAGUGCAGUUUCUGCCGGGAUAGUUGGCCUCUGAGGGGUUAAAGCCAUGCAGGGAAUCCAAGUCUGAGUUUCAAGUGGGCCGGGCUGAGCUUGCUUUUGUUUACUUCUUUAAUCAUCCAUGGACGCUUGCUGGGGCCUGCAAUGGCCAGGCACAUCCACCCACGUGGGACAAGAUGCAGCUUCCGUGGCUGCUUGCAGGGGAUGGAAGACUCCCACAGACGCCUGCUAACAUCACAUGCCCAAGUGUCACCGCGAUGCCACGUCCAGUCUGAGCCAUUCCUCGCCCAUGUCCCUGUCCUUGUUGCAUAGCCGGCCUCCAGCGUGUGGCUUCGUGCAGCGACCAGACCGUCGUGUGACUUUCUGCCACGGUUGCUGGGGUUGGCACUGGGGCAGACCUGCUGGGGGGUUCUGGGUUGCAGCUGGAGCGCUGGGACUGGCAGGACGCCUCUCUUCGUGCUGCCCCAGGGCCCAUCCACGUCGACUCCCGGCGUGAAGCGUGUGGGCUGCCUCACAGCCUGGCAGCUCCAGGACUGCUGGGGGCUCCCCCCGCGGCCCCGGCUCUGCUGGCAGCACUGGGCCAGAAGCAACUCACCUUCACACAGCCGCCCUGAAGGCACGUAGGUUCCGGAAGGGAACCUUGGGAAAUGGGAUUCGUGCCAUACUCAUGGGAGUCCCAAGCUCCCUCGCCCAUUUCACUCCAUGAGGAUAGGAGGGGACAGCUGCUGACGACCUGGCAGAGACCCUGCGCCAGGCCCCACCCCACCGGCACCCUGAUCUUGCACUUCCGGCCUCGAGAAUGCCCCCGCCCGGGAGGGUCUGAGCCAGGCAGCCUCCCCGGGAGCCGGUGCUGACACGGCCAGAGAAACCAUUCCAGACCCGGACCCCACUGUCCCCAACACCUGCGGGCCAGUGACUCAGGGCGGUGGAGAGAGCCAAGAGGAAGUGGAGGCUGAGUGGCCCUCCCCGGGGCUGGGGCCCGCCGUCUGGUUGUGUCUCCAGCCGCUGGUUUAGGGGAAUCGGGAGGGCUCACUUAAGCAUCCCUUCCCUGCGUGCUCUUCCAUCGCGGGACAGAAGACCCGACUGCUGCCAGCACCAAAGGGUGUUCCCACGGCACACGCCGCUUGGGCUCGGGCAGGCAGGGACCCCUCCUCGUGCCUCGGGAGCCUGGAGCUGUCGGCCCUGCAGCUGAGGACCACAGGAGGUCAGGGACAUGCAAGCUCAGUGCCCGAAGUCACUUCUAGAGUGCGAUUCGGUGUCCCUGAAGGUCCCAACUCUGCCCUGACACAUUACAGAAAAUGUCGCUGCCCCCUGGUGUGGAUGCUGGCCCGCCCCCGGGGAGGCUUCUGCCCCAUCACCCAGCCCAGCCCAUCCCAUCCCAACAGGACUCAGCCUCCAGUGGCUACCAUCAGACCCCACGGCAUGGUGACUGUCACUGCAGAGGGCUAGAGAGGGCCGCGUGUGGGACGGCAGGGGCCGACGGGGGGCUCUGCAUUCCCCAGUAACCCAGGUUUCUGCUGGGGCUGCUCCCCAGCUGCUCUGCUCCCCAGCUCCCUACAACGCGGAUUUAUUCUUAUUUCCCACAGGGAAGGCCUAACAAGGCUUGACCAAUCAGUGAAGGGCAUUCCCCAGACUGCUGGCUGUGACUGGGUCCCAGAUAAGCACGUGACCCACUAUGGGCCAAUGAAAGUCGCCUGAGACUUUUGCUUGCAUGGUUGCUGGGACGGUCCAAAGUCCUCAGUGGGGACGGCUGGCUGCAGCUGUCAGACUUGGAGCGUGAGGACAGAGCUGGGCCGGUUCCUCCCUGGGAUCUCCCCUCCCCGAGCACAGGCUCUGCUCUGCCCAGCCCCAUGCUGUCCCCUGUGCGACCGCUGUGGGCUUCCUGCCAGGCUCCUGCACCCUCCGGCUUCUGUUGGGUUCAGUUCUGGGAGGCAGCCCCGGAGUCUGGAGGGUGGAAGGAGUGAGGGGCAUCCCCUGUCCCCUCCCCACAGUCUUGGCAGUGGUUUCUUCUCUCCAGAGUUACUGUCCCUACCCCCUGUCCUCUCUCUGCAGCUCCAGCUCUUGCUGGGCGCCUGUGAUUCUCACCCCUGUCCCUUCAGGCCGUGGGGAGAAGAACAUCCCAGUGCGGUCACUUCCUGGAUCCAAUUCCUGGAUGCCCAGUGUCCGCCGGGUCUCCUGGAUUCACCGUGGUCACUGCCUGGAUGCCCAGUGUCCACUGGGUCUCCUGGAUCCAAUUCCUGGAUGCCCAGUGUCCGCCAGGUCUCCUGGAUUCACUGUGGUCCCUGCCUGGAUGCCCAGUGUCCUCCAGGUCUCCUGGAUUCACUUCCUGAAUGCCCAGUGUCUGCUAGGUCUCCUGGAUCCACUUCCUGGAUGCCCAGUGUCUGCCAAAUCUCCUGAAUUCACUUCCUGGAUGCCCAGUGUCCACCAGGUCUCCUGGAUUCUGCCUGUGUCCACGUGAGGGCACCAUCAAUUUCCUGCAAGGAUCCUGACAGUCAAGGUGAGGAGAUGCCUGAAGGACAGGAGACACUCACAGGAGGCCCUGGAGACAGAUGUGCCUCACAGGCAUUCCUGAGGACCUGUGGCCUGGCAGCACAGAGACUGGGUGAAAACAGAACCUUGUGAUCUGCAAGUUCUGCCGCUGCCCUGUCUGUGUCUGUGAAGCAAAGUGUCCAGAAGGGGCCCGCGUGGAAGCUUCUGAGAGCGGUUAGGGGAACGGGGCCCCACGUCCUCCCCGGAGGGCUGGAGACAGAGGCAGGCCGUGCCCCCAGCCCAGAGUAGGGAGGAGGCUGGCAGGCGGCAGCUGUGGAAAGGAGGCGGAGCCCCCAGACUCCUGAGCCAGCAGAGGAAGGAGUGGGACAGAGCCCACCCCAGAGGGAGACAAGACCCCGGGGAAGAGACCCCUCAGGGUGGCCCCCCAGCCCCUCCCAGGCUCAGCUUUCAGCCUGCACCCCCGUCUGGUCCCUCAGAAUGACUGAGGUUUCCACUCUUUUUCUGCCAAAUCUCUAGACUCCACGUCCCCGCUCUGCCACCUACUCUCUGUGGGAUCUGAAUAAAGAGACUUAACCUUUCCUGCCUCAGUUUCCCCAUAUGUAAAAUGGGACAAUAAGAGGCUCUGCCUCUAAGCCUUGCUGCAGGGAUUAAGGGAGCGAUGCGUGGUCUGCAGCCAGCCCCCUGCAGCCAGGCCCCUGCAGCCAGCCCCCUGCAGCCAGCCGCCUGCAGCCAGUGGUUCUUCAGUGGCCCCAGGGAAAGGCCAGGCACUGUGGAGACGCUUCCCAGCCACACUCGCUGAGCCGCGCCGGGAUAGGGUCUCUCCACCCAAGCUCCUUUUAGGAAAGUGGUUCCUGGGAAGAUGGAUAAGACCCAGCGUCCACCGGGGUCUGCGUUCUAAGUGGUACGCUUGUGAGGGCUGUUGCACGUGAACAAUUCCCUGUGAUACAUUCCGCAGGCACCGGGGAAGCUCCAGGCUGGGCGUGGAGCCUCAGAGACUGUGGGCAGGGCUCGUGAGGGGCAGGCGAGGGGCCAGGAGGCCUCCUUCGCAUUCGAGCUUCUCAGCCACGUGUGCAGGGGUGGGCUGGGUGUGGGAGUGUGUGUGUCACUGGUGUCAAAGCCUCCUCACUUUUUUUGGGAAAGAAAUGGGAUAUAAAUACAUGUGUAAAUAUCUAUAUAAAAUUCACAUUCUCU
rnacentral:lncRNA from 1 species